CCAGAACGAUGGUCGGGCACCUUUAGGCGGUGUUCUGGAUAAGUAGGCCGGUCCGAAAGAACCUGUUGAAACUAAGACCCGA
rnacentral:ribozyme from 1 species